UACGAAGGGAGCUAGCGUUGUUCGGAAUUACUGGGCGUAAAGGGCGCGUAGGCGGUUUUAUAAGUCAGAUGUGAAAGCCCCGGGCUUAACCCGGGAGGUGCAUUUGAAACUGUAAGGCUUGAGAUCGGGAGAGGAAAGUGGAAUUACGAGUGUAGAGGUGAAAUUCGUAGAUAUUCGUAAGAACACCAGUGGCGAAGGCGGCUUUCUGGCCCGGUACUGACGCUGAGGCGCGAAAGCGUGGGGAGCAAACAGG
rnacentral:rRNA from 1 species